rnacentral:rRNA from 1 species
UUACCAUGCAGUCGAACGCUGAAGCCCCAGCUUGCUGGGGUGGAUGAGUGGCGAACGGGUGAGUAACACGUGAGUAACCUUCCCUUGACUCUGGGAUAAGCCUGGGAAACCGGGUCUAAUACCGGAUACGACCGGUCACCGCAUGGUGGUUGGUGGAAAGAUUUAUCGGUCUUGGAUGGACUCGCGGCCUAUCAGCUGGUUGGUGGGGUAAUGGCCUACCAAGGCGACGACGGGUAGCCGGCCUGAGAGGGUGACCGGCCACACUGGGACUGAGACACGGCCCAGACUCCUACGGGAGGCAGCAGUGGGGAAUAUUGCACAAUGGGCGCAAGCCUGAUGCAGCGACGCCGCGUGAGGGAUGACGGCCUUCGGGUUGUAAACCUCUUUCAGUAGGGAAGAAGCGAAAGUGACGGUACCUGCAGAAGAAGCGCCGGCUAACUACGUGCCAGCAGCCGCGGUAAUACGUAGGGCGCGAGCGUUAUCCGGAAUUAUUGGGCGUAAAGAGCUCGUAGGCGGUUUGUCGCGUCUGCCGUGAAAGUCCGGGGCUUAACCCCGGAUCUGCGGUGGGUACGGGCAGACUGGAGUGCAGUAGGGGAGACUGGAAUUCCUGGUGUAGCGGUGAAAUGCGCAGAUAUCAGGAGGAACACCGAUGGCGAAGGCAGGUCUCUGGGCUGUUACUGACGCUGAGGAGCGAAAGCAUGGGGAGCGAACAGGAUUAGAUACCCUGGUAGUCCAUGCCGUAAACGUUGGGCACUAGGUGUGGGGGCCAUUCCACGGUUUCCGCGCCGCAGCUAACGCAUUAAGUGCCCCGCCUGGGGAGUACGGCCGCAAGGCUAAAACUCAAAGGAAUUGACGGGGGCCCGCACAAGCGGCGGAGCAUGCGGAUUAAUUCGAUGCAACGCGAAGAACCUUACCAAGGCUUGACAUGUUCCCGACCGCCACAGAGAUGUGGUUUCCCCUUUGGGGCGGGUUCACAGGUGGUGCAUGGUUGUCGUCAGCUCGUGUCGUGAGAUGUUGGGUUAAGUCCCGCAACGAGCGCAAC